CGGACUUGGGUUUUCUCUGCGGUCUGCGGGUUUUAAAGGGAACGCUCGGGCUCGUGGGUCCUCCCUGGCGUGGGGUGAGGCUCUUCGGAUGUGAAAAAUCCCCCAGAGUUACCCGGCGAGAGGCGUUCGUAGCGCGCUCCGGUUUCUCCUUUCGUAGAGCUUGCGGGGGGGAAGCAUCGGGAGACUCGGAGGAAAAGUGGUGACUGAGGUGAAGGCGUGGGCGAAGGCAGCUCCCGCGGGUGACUUCAUGUGGGAAACCUCGCGUCCGCCAAGGGCUUCGUCGUUGCGUCCUCGCUGGUGGUGCCUCGGCGGUGCCUAAAGGUCAGAGCCUCCCUGGCAGCUGCCUUCGCCCCUGUGCGAGCGCUUGGGCUGAACCCGUAACAAAUCCCACCGUAAAUCCCCCGGAGGACCCCGAACUCAAAAAUAAGUCACGCUGGGCUUUUUGAGAACUGGAAAGGAAGAACUGCCGUGUGUGAAUCAACCUGCGGUCACUGAAUCAUCGCUUUAAUCAUACUGAUUUGACAACCAUUGUAUGCCAGCUUGUGUCAACACCAGACCAAGGUGCUCCUGAUCAACCAGAUCUUCUGGGAUUUUUUUAAAAAGAAACUCCAGUGGGUAAAAGAUGUGCCAUGGAAUGGUAGCACCAAAGAGCAACACAGGAUCGUCUCUUGCCUUGACUAGCCAUGGGUUAUUUCUUCUGCUAGUUAUCUUUGGUACCUUUAUCUUGGAAGCACAGGCCACAGGUUGGCUCAGCAAAUCCGAAGGACCUGCAUAUUGUCCCCAGCCACCACAGCCUGAGAAUGGUGGCUAUAAAUGCCACCCUAGCCCCUGCAACAACCCUCUGACUUCAGGCAGUGUCAUAGAGUAUUUGUGCGUCGAAGGCUACAUGCUGAAAGGAGAUUAUAAAUACUUGACCUGCAAGAAUGGAGAGUGGAACCCAGCCAUGGAAGUCAGCUGCAGGCUGAGCCCGGAAAAGGACUCUCCUCCAACAAUUGGAGUACCCACGCUGUCCAUAGUAGCCUCCACAGCAAGCUCCGUCGCCCUGAUCCUGCUCUUAGUUGUGCUGUUCGUUUUGCUGCAGCCAAAACUGAAGUCGUUCCAUCAUAGCAGGCGAGACCAAGGUGUGUCUGGAGAUCAGGUCUCUAUCAUGGUGGAUGGUGUCCAAGUGGCCUUGCCAUCCUAUGAAGAAGCGGUGUAUGGCAGCACAGGGAACUGCAUUCCACCCUCGGAUUCCCGAGUGCAGAUCGUGCUCUCGGAGGGAGCUGGGCAGAACGGAGCCAGAGAGAUGCAGCAGCAGGACCAAGGGGCUCGCAAUAGCUUUGAAAGAGAAGAUGAAGCCCCCGGACACUCUGGACUGUGCGAAGCCAGUGGCUCUCAGCGCUCUGAAACUGUUCUUGUGCAUCAGGCUGCUACCUCUUCCUGGGUAGCUGGCAUGGCUAGCAGUAGACCUGUACAUAAAGAGGUCCAAGAUUCAGAAAGCAGUGACAUACAGAGCCUUUUAUCACUCACUUCCUCCGAGGAAUACACAGAUGAUAUUCCCUUAUUGAAGGAAGCAUGAGGCCUGCUGUGUUUGUCUAGCCUUCUCCCUCUUGGAUUUCUUCCUCCUCCCCUCCCCCUGCCUUUGGGACAGAAGCACUCUGUGCAGCCUUCCCCGUCCUCGCGAGCUGUGCCCUGGAUACCUCCAAGCAGAGAUGCCCUCAGCUGAAGAUCCAAAGGAUGUCGCCAGGUUGCCUCCUGGGUGCACCAGUGGAGUUGGUGCAGCGCUGGCUUCCCCAUUCCAUCAGCAUCGGGGGCUCAAGGAACAGAGUGGAUUUGAGCUCUCCUCUCCUCUCCUUCAGCCAGAUGUUUUGACAGCAGUCUCUGAAGAGCUGCUCUUUUCUUGUGCCUUUCUCCUCCUCACACCGGCUUUUUGCAGCUUAUCAGCCUCUCUAGCCCUUCUGCUGCCCAGAGAGCAGGGCCUAAACCGCUUGCUCACUGGGUGCAGACACAGUUUAUAUAUACGUAUAUAUGUUAUAUAGGCUCUUCUUCCGGCAUCCUCUUUGUGACAGGGCAGGACAAAAUGCCUCACUGGGACUGAAGCUGGGCUUGGGAGGGAUCCCAGUUAAGGGGCAGCUUGUGAUGUCUAGAAGCGCCUUGGAUGAGAUGGGCUGUGUGACAGCUUAGCUGUGCAGUGACAGUUCAUUGAGAAUUGCUAGAGCGCUGAAGGCUGAGAAGUCCAACGUGUUGGAAUACCCUCUGCCCCCUUCUCAAAAACCAUCUCUGCAGGAGUCCAUUCCUGAAAAUCACUUUUGUCUCCUCCUUCCUCCUUGAUUGUGCUGUGUUUCUAGAAGCUGGGACUGGGACUGUACUGCCAAUAUAACAACCCUUUCAGCUGCUCUGGUGCCAGAGCAGCUCCUGGUGUUAGGUUGUAGAAGAGCCUUGGAGAACGGCCAGCAGGGUCCAGAAAACUUGGAGGAUGUGACUUUCAGUUAACCAACCCUCUGUUAACUGUGAGUUAGCCCUGUUCACUGAGGCAUCAGGACUGGAACCAAAUCUGUGGCCCUCUUCUUCUGAAUAAGCUGUGUGUCUCAAAGCUUUUUCAGUUAAGGUGGUUCUGCACUAAAGCCUAGGUUCAGCUCUUCAGGCAGAGGUAACACUUUUGAGGUGUAAUCUGGAAGUGGUUCAGGUGUUUGAAAACAUCGAGAGAAAAAAAUGCCUGUAGGUAAUGACUGCCUAGUGCCGUUGGUGCAAUCCCAAAUUACCUUUCCAGCCACACUAGGUACCUUGGUACCUGAAUCCUGGGUAGCUGCCAUCUCAGAGGCUAGCGUGUCUUCCUAGCUUCAUACAGCAAAAGUCUGCUGGUUUAUCCUAGUGGGCCUCAGUGGGCCCACAGAGAAGAGCUUCUUCCUUGUGGCUGGGGGUAAGCAGCAUUGCUGAAGUCUCUCCUAAAUACAACGCAGUUACCUGUUGCUGGGAGGGAAGGUUGGCUACAUUGACAGCCAUGCCAGAGGACACCAUAGCUUAUUCAUGAACCUAAGUUUCAAAGAUUGUAUCAAGUUCUAGUAGCAGGGAAAAGAAAACCCAAAAAUACGUAUACCUCUGUCCCAACAGUUAUCUACAGCAGGUCAGAAUGUCCUGGUUGCUGUUAACAGGACUCUCUUUUUGCAGGAAGCCACAUUUGUCUGGGGUAGGUGAUCAGAUCAUAGAAGCAUUGUGGUGGUUGCAAGGUUCUUCACCGGGGAGGUCUGGACACUGUUCCAUAGGAUUGGUUUCAGCAAGAAGAGUUGGCUUCUUAGAUGCAUGUACCUUGUCCUAACUGUCUUGAAGUAACCAGGGGAGUGUUUGUCCUGUGAGAAGCUGCUAAAUUUUUGAGUUGAAGGAGCAAAAUGUCAUGGCCUUACACAUCAUGUGGUAAUGUACAGAGGCUGAAGGAUUGGGAAGUCUUUUGGGCAGAGAUUUAGGAAAAACUAAAUUGCACAGUCCUGUCUUCGCUUAUGGGAGCAAGGGCUGAGGCUUGAAGAUCCCUCUCUCGGGAGCGUUCGUUACCUCUGAGCGAAGAGCGUGUCCUCUUUGGCUGUUGGAUAGGUAGAUGCAGCCUGGAUCUCAGCGUGGUGGAUGGGGAGCACAGGGGGGCUCAGCCUUGCAAGAUGUAACACAGUAAAGUUUUGUUUUGUUUUUUCUGAUGGGGCCGCAGCCUCCUUACCUUUUUUCCCCACCUGUGUCUGGCAAAAGAAUUCAAAGGGAGGCAUUUUUUUCUCAGACAUAAUCAUCUCGUGCUCUGUCAUACAUGCUGGAUCCUGCAAUAUUCAAGAACGUUAAGAUGAUUUAAUUACAUUGGAGAAAUAAAACCAGCACUUAUUUUAAAGGCUUCUGUUAUUUUUGGAGUCUGAUAGGUUAAAAAAAAAGGACAUUUCAGAAAUUCAGAAUAUUAUGUGCAAUAGAGAAACCUCCUUGCUCCCUUUCAGUUGCAUAGUGUUUUGUUGUUGUUUUUUUUUUUAAAAAAAAUAAAAAAAGGAACCUACUGCAGCAUUUACAGCCCAAGCAUUGCAGGACUGGACCAGCCUGAGAGAACCAGAAAGUGAAGCUCACAGUAACCCCUGGGGAAGCAGGGCAGUCCCCUGUCAGGAUCUGCAUCAUGAAUCUUAGCUCAAACCAUUGUGUCGGAGCCUCCUGCCGCCUUGAAGGGGGUCAGCAGCAUUGGUGAGAUGGGUCGGUGUGUUCUGGUGUUAAAUAGCCCGCAUCUCCCAUCGUUAACUGUAGAAGAGGUAAAAAAUGAAGUCAGGAGGCGAGACAUGCUGCAGCAUGUCAGCCUCUGGAGUUGUUGCCAAGUUAAAACUUCAUGAGUUUGGGAGGGAGAAGAGCUUAAUGCGUUUUUAUCCUUUUUCUUAACCACCAGGGAACUCGCUGUGUAGAAGAAUGCUUGCUCGGCAAGCACGCUGCUUGUUCACCCCUUGGACACCUCCCCUGAGGUUUCUCCUUAGCCCUUCAGCUUGGUGUGGUGAAUCGUUUAAUGCAUCUGGAGCCUUUAUUUGGCCUUUCCGCACAGGGAGAAGUCAGGCGUGGUAGGAAGAAAUCUGUUGCGCGCGUUUUGGGAGGAAACAUCCUAAGAUGCUCCCAGAGGUGGAUGACUUGGGUCAGGACUGAGGAGUGGGGCUAAGAGAGCAACAGGCUCAGCCAUCGGAAAUAAUCUGGGAUGGUUAAGUCAUUUGCAGUACAGAAAAAGAGAACACAAGGAGGGGGGUGGUAAGGAAGAGCUGUGACUGAAAUCGGAGGUAUGCUGCUGGCUAAUGAGCUAAUGCACUCAUGACCGGGUUGUAAGGAAGCUUGUGCUUUGCUUAGAUGAUUUAGCAGACAUCAGCGGGCUUGCUGUAUAAAAAAAAAAAAAAAAAAAAAAAAAAAAAUUUAACCUACAACUGGUUGGACACACUGAGAUUUCCUUGCUGACCUUUUUAGAACGUAUUUGCAAAACCUGGUUUUACUGUUCUGACAGCAGUUGUUUU